rnacentral:rRNA from 1 species
GAUGAACGCUGGCGGCGUGCCUAAUACAUGCAAGUCGAGCGAACAGACGAGGAGCUUGCUCCUCUGACGUUAGCGGCGGACGGGUGAGUAACACGUGGAUAACCUACCUAUAAGACUGGGAUAACUUCGGGAAACCGGAGCUAAUACCGGAUAAUAUAUUGAACCGCAUGGUUCAAUAGUGAAAGACGGUUUUGCUGUCACUUAUAGAUGGAUCCGCGCCGCAUUAGCUAGUUGGUAAGGUAACGGCUUACCAAGGCAACGAUGCGUAGCCGACCUGAGAGGGUGAUCGGCCACACUGGAACUGAGACACGGUCCAGACUCCUACGGGAGGCAGCAGUAGGGAAUCUUGCGCAAUGGGCGAAAGCCUGACGGAGCAACGCCGCGUGAGUGAUGAAGGUCUUCGGGUCGUAAAACUCUGUUAUUAGGGAAGAACAAAUGUGUAAGUAACUAUGCACGUCUUGACGGUACCUAAUCAGAAAGCCCCGGCUAACUACGUG